rnacentral:rRNA from 1 species
CCUACGGGUGGCAGCAGUGGGGAAUAUUGGACAAUGGGCGAAAGCCUGAUCCAGCCAUGCCGCGUGUGUGAAGAAGGCCUUCGGGUUGUAAAGCACUUUCAGUGGGGAAGAAAGCCUUGGGGCUAAUACCCUCGAGGAAGGACAUCACCCACAGAAGAAGCACCGGCUAACUCCGUGCCAGCAGCCGCGGUAAUACGGAGGGUGCGAGCGUUAAUCGGAAUUACUGGGCGUAAAGCGCGCGUAGGCGGUCUGAUAAGCCGGUUGUGAAAGCCCCGGGCUCAACCUGGGAACGGCAUCCGGAACUGUCUGGCUAGCGUGCAGGAGAGGAAGGUAGAAUUCCCGGUGUAGCGGUGAAAUGCGUAGAGAUCGGGAGGAAUACCAGUGGCGAAGGCGGCCUUCUGGACUGACACUGACGCUGAGGUGCGAAAGCGUGGGUAGCAAACAGGAUUAGAUACCCGGGUAGUC